CGCCGCAGGUCCAGGCCUAGGUGAUUGCACGAGGGGCGCCGUGCCCCGCCUCCCGUCACUAUGGUCACCGCAACCUCUUCCGCCGCCUCGCGGCGGGCCGACAGCCAAUCACAGGCGCGUGUUACCGACGCCGGGGAGGGAUUCGAGUCUUGCAGUGCAAUAUCCAUGCACACACCGGUGUCUCUCCUACCAGCGAGAAGUUAUGCAUAACCCAGAAACGCUGUCAUUUACAUCUCCGUAAAGAGUUCUGCCCCAAAGAAAAACUUCAGAAUGACAAACACAUCCUGUGUUAAACAAUCAAAUGAACCCAACAUGGAGGAUUCCAGUGUGAUUUCAGUACUUGGGAGGGCACUGACUCCUAUGGUUUUUCAUGGAAGUACCACAGGCUGGGCUGCUAGCAUUCAGCUUUCCUUGGCCUUAAAAGGGAUUUUCUCAGGGCUGGCAAAUUGGAUUAGAUUCUAAGAGAAUUUUGUUUUUGACAAACUACCGUUUUUAGCAUAAAAUCUGGCCAUGGCUAUAAGUUUCAAUGUGUGUACAACUGAUUAGAUUUUUUUCUUUUUCUUUUCAACAUUGGCUGGAAUUGAGUAGAAAAAAGUCCACGGUGCCUCUUCACAUGUGUCAUGAAAUAUGAGAAAUCUGUCUGAUUCUAGAUACUAUUUCUUUACGACACAAUGGGCAGGUCUCCAGCUGCAAGGCACAAUCCAUGCACAGGUCACUGGGGAGAAACAAAGAAAAGCCAGUCAAGUUAAUGCUUCAAAAGGUCAAACUCCAACUACCUGCCACCUAAAUCUAAAAUGUUAACAAGUUUGUUCAUUGAAAGGGCAAUAAUUAUACAUGGUUUCAAAAAAUGAAUAUGUAAAUAAAUAAAUCUUCCAUUUCUGAUCCUCAAUUGUCUUAGUCUGAAGAACAAGUAAAAAGUUCAUGUGCAUUCUUUCAGACACUCUAUACAUGCACAGCAUAUACUUACAGAUGUGUACAUAUAGGCAGGGAUACAAUAUUUCUCCCCAGAAAGCUAGCUAUUUAUCCUAGAAUAAUUUACUGAACAGUCCAUCUUCCACCACAGUUUUAACACAUUGCCUUUGUCAUAUGGUAAAUUUUCAUUUUUAGUUAGUUCUAUUUCUGGGUUUCUAUUCUAUUCCAUUAUUCUGCCAUUCUUGUCAUAUAGUAAUGAGACCUAACUAUUAACAUUUAUUUUUAUUUUUUGAGACGAAGUCUUGCUCUGUUACCCAGGCUGGAAUGCAGUGGCAUAAUCUCUGCUCACUCCAACUUCUGCCUCCCGGGUUCAAGCGAUUCUCCUGUCUCAGCCCCCUGAGUAGCUGGGAUUACAGGUGCAUGCUACCACGCCCAGCUAAUUUUUUUUUUUUUUUUAAUUUUUAGUAGAGGCAGGGUUUCACCAUGUUGGCCAGGCUGGUCUCAAACUCCUGACCUCGUGAUCCGCCCACCUCAGCCUCCCAAAGUGCUGGGAUUACAGGCAUGAGCCACUGUGCCCAGCUAUUAACAUUUAAUGUAUUUUUAAGAUGUAGUAUAGUUGUCAUCUCUGCAACUUUCAGAAUUUUCUUGCCUUAAACUUUUAAAUCAGCGUGUCUAGUUCCAGAAAAGGUCUGUUGCUCUUUUUAUGUUGACCACAUUAAACUUAAGAGUUUAAGAGAAAACUGUCACCUUUACAAUACUGAGAGGUCCUCCUAUCCAAGGAAAGACUUUUAUUUAAGUCUCCUAUUAUACUCUGUGGUAGUUUAAAAGUUUUCUUCCCAUAGGCUCUACAUAUUUCUUGGUAUGUAUUCUUAGAUAGCUUUUUCUAAACCAUUGUAAAAGGGAUCUUCAAUUAUAUGUUCUAAUGGGCUGCUCAUUUAUACAUACAGCCAGGAGAGCUACUGACUUUGUAUAUUUUGUAAGUCAUAGUAGUGACACUAGGUAUCCUUAUCUUGUUCCCAACAUCUCUUGAAAUGCUUCUGGCGUGUCACCAUUAAAAAGAUGCUAGCAUUUGGCUGAAA